rnacentral:rRNA from 1 species
CCUACGGGAGGCAGCAGUAGGGAAUCUUCCGCAAUGGACGAAAGUCUGACGGAGCAACGCCGCGUGAGCGAUGAAGGCCUUCGGGUCGUAAAGCCCUGUUGUCAGGGAAGAACAAGUACCGGAGUAACUGCCGGUACCUUGACGGUACCUGACCAGAAAGCCACGGCUAACUACGUGCCAGCAGCCGCGGUAAUACGUAGGUGGCAAGCGUUGUCCGGAAUUAUUGGGCGUAAAGCGCGCGCAGGCGGUUCUUUAAGUCUGAUGUGAAAGCCCCCGGCUCAACCGGGGAGGGUCAUUGGAAACUGGGGAACUUGAGUGCAGAAGAGGAGAGCGGAAUUCCACGUGUAGCGGUGAAAUGCGUAGAGAUGUGGAGGAACACCAGUGGCGAAGGCGGCUCUCUGGUCUGUAACUGACGCUGAGGCGCGAAAGCGUGGGGAGCGAACAGGAUUAGAUACCCUGGUAGUCCACGCCGUAAACGAUGAGUGCUAAGUGUUAGAGGGUUUCCGCCCUUUAGUGCUGCAGCAAACGCAUUAAGCACUCCGCCUGGGGAGUACGGCCGCAAGGCUGAAACUCAAAGGAAUUGACGG